rnacentral:rRNA from 1 species
ACAAGCGGUGGAGCACGUGGUUUAAUUCGAUGCAAACCGAAGAACCUUACCUGGGUUUGACAUGUGCGUGUUACUGAGGUGAAAGCCGAGGGACCAUAUCUUUCGGAUGUGGAGCGUACACAGGUGCUGCAUGGCUGUCGUCAGCUCGUGUCGUGAGAUGUUGGGUUAAGUCCCGUAACGAGCGCAACCCUUGCCCUUAGUUACAAGUGUCUAGGGGGACUGCCGGCGGGAAGCCGGAGGAAGGUGGGGAUGACGUCAAGUCAGCAUGGCCCUUAUAUCCAGGGCUACACACACGCUACAAUGGUCGGUACAAAGGGCAGCGAAGCCGCGAGGUGGAGCGAAUCCCAGCAAAGCCGACCGUAGUACGGAUAGCAGGCUGCAACUCGCCUGCUUGAAGCUGGAGUUGCUAGUAACCGCGCGUCAGCAUAGUGCGGUGAAUACGUUCCCGGGGCUU